rnacentral:rRNA from 1 species
CCUACGGGGGGCAGCAGUGAGGAAUAUUGGUCAAUGGACGAGAGUCUGAACCAGCCAAGUAGCGUGAAGGAUGACUUCCCUAUGGGUUGUAAACUUCUUUUAUAAGGGAAUAAAACGAGGCACGUGUGCCUUUUUGCAUGUACUUUAUGAAUAAGGAUCGGCUAACUCCGUGCCAGCAGCCGCGGUAAUACGGAGGAUCCGAGCGUUAUCCGGAUUUAUUGGGUUUAAAGGGAGCGUAGAUGGGUUGUUAAGUCAGUUGUGAAAGUUUGCGGCUCAACCGUCAAAUUGCAAUUGAUACUGGCAGUCUGGAGUACAGUAGAGGUAGGCGGAAUUCGUGGUGUAGCGGUGAAAUGCUUAGAUAUCACGAGGAACCCCGGUUGCGAAGGCAGCUUACUGGACUGUGACUGACAUUGAUGCUCGAAAGUGUGGGUAUCAAACAGGAUUAGAUACCCUAGUAGUC